UCCCUGGUGGCUUAGACGGUAAAAGCGUCUGCCUACGAUGCAGGAGACCUGGGUUCAAUCCCUGGGUGGGGCA
rfam:TPA: Bos taurus chromosome 7, whole genome shotgun sequence.